AAGUGGUUAAUCACAUUUAACGAGUAAAGAAAAAACAAACAUAAGAAAAACCUCCAAUUGAAAAUAAUAAACAAGUCAAAGUAGGUAGCUUAGUGAAAAUGAAGUCUAUUAUCUUUAAUGCUGCUUCUCCAUUUGGAUCCUUAAACAAACUAUGGAAUCUGCAACGAGUUGGAUCCAUUCUUUGUUGUUCUUCAGCUUCAUUAUUGCUUCUUUACAUCUACUAGACAGACUGAUUAUCUCAAGUAAACUAACCACCGACCAAAAUAUCCAGCUGAUAAAGAAGCAGCCCCAGCUGCCUCUGCGUUUCAACUCUAACGGAACCUUCAAAAUUCUGCAGGUGGCGGAUAUGCACUACGGGAAUGGGAUGGUGACUCGGUGUAGAGAUGUAUUGGAGAGUGAGUUCAAUUACUGUUCCGACCUCAACACUACUCAGUUCUUGAGGAAAAUGAUUGAGAUUGAAAAGCCAGACUUGAUUGUAUUUACUGGAGAUAACAUAUUCGGAGCAAGUGCCACUGAUGCUGCAGAAUCUUUGUUUGAAGCUUUUGCUCCUGCUAUAGAAUCCGGAAUUCCAUGGGCAGCAGUUUUGGGGAACCAUGAUCAAGAAUCUACCAUGAAUCGUGAGGAACUUAUGUAUUUAAUCUCCCUGAUGGAUUAUUCUGUGUCACAAACCUUCCCAUCAACCAAAGUUACCUCGGAUCCAGUAAAACAGCAACCAAUAACAAAUAUUGAUGGAUUUGGCAACUACAAUCUUGAAGUGUGGGGUGCACCUGGCUCAUACUUUAGUAACAGCAGCAUUCUUAACCUAUAUUUUCUAGACAGUGGAGAUAGAGCUGUUGUCGAUGGAGUUCGGACUUAUAACUGGAUCAGGGAAUCUCAACUAAGUUGGCUUCGUGAUAUUUCUAAAAGAUAUCAGGGACAACGGAAGUAUGCUGAUCAAUCAGUCGAGAGUUCUCUGCCAAUGAUGCAUCCUGCACUAGCAUUUUUCCAUAUCCCGAUUCCAGAAAUUCGUCAAGGUCCCAUAAAAGAUAUCGUUGGCACGUACCGGGAAUAUGUGGCAUGUUCAUCAGUAAACUCCGGAGUUUUGAAGACCUUUGUCUCAAUGGGGGAUGUUAAGGCUGUUUUUAUAGGUCAUGAUCAUACUAAUGAUUUCUGUGGGAAUCUAGAAGGUAUAUGGUUUUGCUACGGUGGAGGCUAUGGAUAUCAUGGUUAUGGUGUAGCUGGAUGGCCUAGAAGAGCAAGGGUUAUACAGGCAGAACUUGGAAAGGGAAAAGUGAUGUGGAUGGGUGUGGAGAAGAUCAGAACAUGGAAACGACUUGAUGAUGGUGUACUGACCAAGUUUGAUGAGCAAGUCUUGUGGGACAGACAAUCAUUAAGAUGAAAGUAUCAGCCUAUCAGGUAGGAUAUAUUUCCAUCCAGAAUUGCAGUUACCUUACGUAAACAUGCAUGGAUGAUAUGUUAUAUCUUAUGAAUGAUUGAGAUUGAACUGCUUUAAUUAAGCUUUCAGAAAGUAGCACUAGGCUUUUAAGGCUUUUGUGGGUCGCACUUGAGCUGUUCUAAAAGAGAGAAAACUAAAUGUGCUGUGAAUCCCUGGUCAAUAGAUACUUCAUAAUUUGUGGUCUAGAGAGGCUCCACUUAAUAGGGUACCUAAAAGCAUGGGGCCAGAACAAAGAAGGAAAAAGAACAAAUUGUUGCAGUUAUGAUCUUUGUUAUAUAGAGUCAUUUAUGGGUGUGUACCCGAUCCUACACAGAUGUCAGAUGUGCAAGUAUGUACACCUUUUAUUCUAGUUUUUAGUGUAAUUGAGAAAUAUCGCAGAGUCAAUACCUGUAUGACACCCGUUUGACGUCAUUACAUCAAGACCUAUGAAGGAUCUAAUUAACAACGGUCGUGGUAGUUAAGACUUAAGACAUCCCUUUAUAGCAUUUUUGUGCCUGUUGAUUAGGAACUUGUACAUCGUUAUGGAUGAUUUACCUUAUUAAAAGUGCAGCCAGUUUAUUGUUCUUUUUUAACUGUGCCCAUAUCGUUUAAUCAGAAAACAAUUAAUGUAUGUAUACUUGGAAACAUUUACAUUGUUGUUUUGCAUAGUUUUGUGUUAAUGUCCUUUCUCUUAUUCGUUGUUGUUAUUUUCUUUCUGGCAUCUCUUGUUGUUACAUGCAUUUUCUUUUGUUUCUUUUCUGAUAUUAUUGUCUCUCCUGUUGAGCCAAGAGUCUCCCGGAAAUAGGCUCUCUAACCUUUUCGGGGUAGGGGUAAGGUCUCUACUCUCCCCAGACCCCAUUAGUGGGAUUUUACUGGGUAUGUUGUUUUUUGUACUUGGAAACAUUUAAAGGAGUAGAAGGAAAAGCAGGGCACAAGUUAAUAUAGACAACAUAAUUCUGACUCUUAAAUCUUGUCCGAUUUAUUUAUUUAUUUGUUAAUUAAUUUAUGGGAAGCAAGCUAGAAUUUGAUACAUAGGCAGUAUUUCUUAACAAAUCUUCUUUGUAUAACAACAACUACUACUUCUGGGCCUCAAUGCAAAACUAGUUGGAUUAGCUACAUGAAUCCUCUUCAGUGAUUAUGCUUCAUUUGGAUCCUUUCCAUUCUGCUACUCAAUAAUGUCUUUUUGAACAAAUUAGAAUUCUCUAGUUCUUCUACUUAAUAGUUUGUCUAUUUUAGGACAGACUAUCUGUAAAAACCUUAAUUCACUGCAUCUCACGCCUAUGUCUACAGUUCCUACACUCUCAAACCAAAUAGAGAAAAGUCAUGUCAAACACCAACCAAAAACUCCUAUCACGCACUGGAUGCUAGUGCGAGUGUGCCAAUGACAACUAACCCUAAUCCCAGCUGGUUGGUAUGCCUAUAAAGGUACUUUGCUUCGUAAGUCCGUAGGGACAAGUAUUCUUUGCAUUUGAAAAAUUAAAAGUGAUUCAAUCCCAUGAGUUAGUUUUUAGAAAGUUUCAACACUAAUUACCUCUAAUCUAACUUGAUUACAUCAUAGCCUUUAGUAUUCUUUUUUAUUUUUUUCAUUUUGGUAUAAAUUCACAUCUUCAGUUUAAAUUAGUAACACUGUAUAAGCAUGCAACUUUACAUAUUGUUUGGUACAGAAAGUCUUCCCAUUCGGAACACUCGGUAAGAGUACUUUUCAACUAAGCAUAUCAGAAUAGAUCUCAAGGGUCUAAAGAACUAUUAAUCUCCUUCAUCCUGCCAAACAUUCCGUCUUGAGUCUGACUGACCUAACUAUUAAGUUAUCAGCCUCUUUGAAUCUUCAUUAACAGAAUUUUUUGUGAAUACCUCAAGUUAAUGUCACGAGAGAGCUCUUCUUUAUCUUCGAUCCACUUUAUCAGAUCUCACGUUUGAUGGAUACUCUCCAGGGGUGGUACGGAAAGCGGGUGAGUGGAUAGGGAGAAGCUGCUCAAGGGAGAAUUGAAGAUGAUUGAUAAUCAGUAUGAAUGUAUAUGGACAAAGUAAUCUAGGAGAAGCAUUGGAGGGUGAAGUUGGAAAACAGAACAAGAGGAGAUCACUCUUGGUAGAGGCGGAUGGAGCUUAUAUACUAUGAACCCAUUAAUUUUAAAUCCUAUAUCUGCCUCUACUCUUGGUAAUAGGAAAAGUUUGUCUAUGAAAAGCCAAGAGUUGAUCCACAUUUGAAAUAUUAAUAUUAAUUAAAAGAAAGAAAGAACCUUGACAAAGUUUGGUUCAAAAGCCGCCUGAGCCAGCUUAUCCGUCUAUGAACCUUGACGAAGUCAUUUAAAGCUCGUGAAUGUCUGCUACACUGUGAUGAACAAGUGACAUUGAGAUGUUAAAGAAGUUGGGAUCUAUGGUCAGCGGAAAAUUUCAUUUCUCUGUCUCAUAUAUAAUUUGGCUUGCUAAACUAUGGCUUCAGUCAAAUUAAGAUCUUUUCAUGAGAAAUAAAUGUGAAUUGAAGUCUAAGGCACCAUAUGUUCAUCAUUCUUGAUGGAAACUGAUUAAUGAUUAUAUUACAAUUGUUUCUUUUCAUGGCUAUAUCUCGAAUAAAAAAGCAAUUGAAUUA